UCCCAGUCAGAUUCAUCCUUGGUGCCGUGCUGGACGUGACAAACAUGGUUUGUCCCUUCUGAGAUCAGGCUGAAAUUUGGCCCAUGGUGUAACACAGUUUUUGAGUCUCUUACUCAGCCUGGAGCUCACUGAUUCAGCAAGACCAGAUAACUUUCUGCCUCCGCUUGGCCGGUGCAGGAUUACAGAUGGUGUUUCUCUACGGAACUCUGGCUGUCGUGGAAUUCAUUCUGUAGACCAGGCUGUAGAACUCUGUAGGAUCUCUGCAGAAGUCAGAGAUGUGCCUACCUCUUUGCCUCCUGAGGAUAAAGAUGCAGAACUCUCAGCUCCUUCUCCAGCAUCAUGUCUACCUGCACACCACCACACUUCCUGCUGUGAGGAUAUGGACUAAACCUCCAAACUCUGAGUCAGCCCUAAUUGUUUUCCUUUAUGAAGUGGUGGUGGUGGUGGUGGUGGUGGUGGUGGUGGUGGUGGUGUCUCUUCACAGCAAUGGAAGAUACCCUGUCUCGAAACCAAAACAAACAACCCAAGACAACAAGAAGACUCGAGAAGCUCCAGAAAUGUACAAGAUUCAUAGCAUCCCCUCCCCCAAGAUCUUAAGAGCAGUAACCAAUUCCUUCUGAGAUAGAGCUUUCCUGAAGGCUAAGCUGUCUAUGAAUUGUGCCAAGAACCCUAGGAAUGCAGCUUUUCUGAGUUGUCAUCUAUGAGAGAGUGAACUUUUUGCUUAGGCAGCUUCCUUUCAUCACUCAUUCUUCUGUGAGUAAACUCCUCACCUAUGUAAUGUCAGUAAACUGGUAAA